GUGAGAGAGAGGGGAGAGGGAUCGAAGUGGGGCAAGGAGUGAGAGAGAAAGAGAACAUGAUAUUCAGUCUCAUUCAGCAUGUGUGUAUUAGUGUGUAAAUAUAUAUGUGUGUGCCUGUGCGCUGGUCAGUGAUUGACCAGUGCUCUUUUUGUCAUUCCCUGGCGACUGUGUUGCCUCGUCCUGCCACGACAGAUACCAGUUUGGGUACCCUCAACUUUCUUAUCAUUAUUGUUGAGGGAACAGUCUUCACGCUUUUGUCACUCAGAUAUGUAGAAAUAUUUGAAUUCGUUGUUCAUUUUAGUUAAACAUGUUUCAUGCUGUAUAUUACGGUAUAUAGGUGUAUGAGCAGUAGAAAGUUGGGCUGUGUGUCAAACAACUUGAGCCAUUGGAUGACUGACUGGGAUAAUCCUGGAUAUCACUGUUUGAUGGUUGAGUAAGUGAAACUGUCAGUGGCCACGUGUAUAAUGUGAGAGGUUUGAAUCGUCCACUGUGAGUUGGCCACUUGUAAUCUGUAUGCUGCAAGUAGGUGAAAUUGUUAGUGAAAUUGUUACCGUCUUGUAUACUGCAAGGGGGUGAAAUUGUUACCCUCUUGUAUACUGCCAGAAGGUGAAAUUGUUACCCUCUUGUAUACUGCCAGAAGGUGAAAUUGUUACCCUCUUGUAUACUGCCAGAAGGUGAAAUUGUUACCUUCUUGUAUACUGCCAGAAGGUGAAAUUGUUACCCUCUUGUAUACUGCAAGUAGGUGAAAUUGCUGGUGAAAUUACUGCUAAUAGGUGAAAUUGUUGGCCACUUGUGCGCUGUGAGUUGGUCACUGGGUGUCUGUGGGUCCUUUGCUUGGAGAGCUGAUUGUUCUUUUGGUUUGUGUUUAUCAUUGUUGUGGGGUUGUUGGGUUUUUUUCAAUGUCUUAUUUGUGUGUAACGGUUUCAGGCUUAGCGGCUACCCGGGCAGAGAGUUCAUUUGACCUUAUGCAGUUGCGAGCACCGUAAAAAAAACUUUUGCAAUAGUAGACUAACAGAGAUCUGAAAGCAGGAGACAGCACUCUUUCCCCACUGAGGAAAGUGAUGGUCUUUUAUGCUCGUCUGUUGCCAAAGUGAUGCAAGAUCUUUAAUUAAUUCACUUGUUUUAAGAGGAAGUCACAGCACAGUCAUUAAAAAAAUAUCGGAAGUUUUAAAGAAUGAUGAUUCAAAUGAUGGCUGGAUCGCUGGUUUUUCUGAUCCAUGGUUGGGGUUUUUGUUAAAAAAAUUUUUUUUUUUUUUUCUUUCUGAAACUGUCUCAACCAUUAUGACCCAACAGAUGACCAACUAUCUCCUUCAUUGUCAAGUCGUAGAUGCAUUUCAUUUGUUUGUAAAUUAUUGCUUUGCCUGUCAGGGCUCAACAGUUGUGUGAUUUGCUGAACCACCAACAGUAGUAAGACAGAAGUUCGGCACAAGUUUGGGAGUUUUCCCUUAGGUUUUAUUAAGUAUUUUGUCGUGCCACAUAAUUUUAGGGUGAUUUUCCUUAGAAGAAAAAAUUAGACAUGACGAGUAUCUAGUAGUGAAAUUUACACAGCAUACAGUACCCUUGAGAAGUACUCAAUAGUUGUUUGAAAUUUCACUUUUUGGCCUUAUUUGUAUUAUUCUUAUAAAUAUUGGUUGACUUAAUUAUUUAGACUUCCAACAGAGCCUUCGUUUUCUCUGUUGGAUUUUUUUCUUUCUUUUUUUUUUUUGUCAAGUCGUACAUUCUGAGGAUUGUUUCCACUCCUUGAAAACCUUCCCAUGGACCUCUAGCUCUCUUCUCUGUGGGCUGCUGUCAAUUGGUAGUUCUCUAAGUAGUGGGCUGGUCCUUAAGAGUCGUCAGUUGUUUUCUGUUUUUCUAUGGGGUACUGGUGUCCUCAAUGCUAAGGACGGGAUGUCAGAUCUGAUCCCUCUGACCGGUGGUCACUGCCCUUGUCCGUGGUAUGAGAUGAUGAAAUGAGAUGAUGAGACGAUGUAAUGAGAUGAGAUGGUACUGUACUGUCCCAGCUGAACUUGCACAGAGCAGCACGCAUCAGUUGCAAACAACUGUCCCGAAUAUUCCCGGGACUGUCCCGGAUUUGAUAAUGGGGAAACCAGUCUCACUUUACGUGGACCCGUUCGUUGUUUGGUAAUCUGAAGGGUUUAUGAAGAAGAAAAAAAAA